rnacentral:rRNA from 1 species
UACGGAGGGUGCGAGCGUUGUCCGGAAUCACUGGGCGUAAAGGGCGCGUAGGCGGCCCGAUAAGUAGGGGGUGAAAUCCUGCGGCUUAACCGCAGGGCUGCCUUCUAAACUGUCGGGCUAGAGCACGGUAGAGGAGAUGGAAUUCCCGGUGUAGCGGUGGAAUGCGUAGAGAUCGGGAAGAACAUCAGUGGCGAAGGCGGUUCUCUGGGACGGUACUGACGCUGAGACGCGAAAGCGUGGGGAGCGAACAGG